GGUUCCAUUCAAGGAUUGCCCUUUACUUCUGAACAGAAAGUAUCUUCUAAGGUCAGUACACAGAGCUCAUAAAUAUAAACAAAUUAGGUUGGCAUCCAUGAGAACAUAGAAUUAUGUAUUCCACCCCCCACUAGAUUAUUGAAUAUCAAAGAAUUCAGUAGUGGACUGAAUGCAUAGUCAAAUAUCUAAAUUGUUAAAACUUAAAAUUUGAAAAUUGGCAUUUGGUCAAGUAGCUAUUAUGUGGCAAGCACAACACUACAAAUCUCCACAGAUAUUAUUUCAUUUUAUACUCCUGUAGUAGGGCAGAAUAAUGGCCUCCAAACAUGUCUAUGUCCUAACCCCUGAAACCCCUGAAAGGCUCUUACCUUCUAUGGAAAAAAGAGGCCUUGCAGGUGUAAUUAAGGUAAGGAUAAGAUAUUGGAAAAUUAACCUGGAUUAUCUGGGUGGACCAAUAUAAUCACAAGGGUCAUUAUAAGAGGGAAGAAAGCGGGUCAGAGUCAGAAAAGAAAAUGUGACACCAAAGCAGGAGUUGGAGUGAUGUGGCCAGGAGCCAAGGAAUGUGGGCAGCCUCUGGAGGGUAAAAAAGGCAAGAAAAUGGUUUAUCCCUCUAGAGACUCUGGAAAGAAUGCAGUCCUGUCAGCCCAUUUAGGACUUCUGACCACCAGAAUGGUAAACGAGAAGGCUGUGUCAUUUUAAGCCACUAAAUCUGUGGUAAUUUGUUAUAGCAGCAACAGGGCACUAUAUAACUCUCCACAAUUUUAUAAAACAGGCCUAUCUCCAUUUUGCAGAUGGAGGAAAUGAUAUUCCAGGGACUCAAGUGGUUUAACUCACCCUGCUUCCUCUCCCAGUGCCUGGAGUGUAGCUAUUUUUGAGCCUACCUGUGUUUUCUCUUCAAGUAGUUGGGUCCUCCCAAGGUUCCGAAAAAGCUGCAAGACGCAUGAGGUAGGUAAUUCGCUAGCUGCACAUCCACACUUUUGUCUUCAACAUAAGGUUAGAUGACUUUCUAAUGAGCUUAGCUGAGUUUUUUCUUUUCUAAAAAGUUGGCCGUUUUUGUGAAGAUUAAUUCAGCAUUUCUGAAACCGGAGCUUCCUGUAUUGCUCUCUCUUUUGGCAAACGUGUUCCUUUGUCUCACCAUUUAAGUUUAGAUUCAAAAACUAGACCAGGAGGGAAUAAACAGUCUGUGAGCGGAAGGGGUUUAAUGUGUUUCUCAGUUUGCAAUAGUAACUUCAGUCAGGUAGGGUCUUAGGGAAAGAUGUCCUAUUCCAGUUUUAACUUCAAAGCCCACAGAAAUGGAGAGCAUGCUUUUGGAGAGUUAAUGGUCAUUUUCCAUGUCCUUAGUAUUGUGGCUCCCUGGGUUCUGCAGCAAGUCUAGAUAUAAAGGUCUGAGCCUUUAGGUUUGUUCUGGUUUUAAGCACAUUUGGUUCUGUAGUAGAUAUGUGUUCAUUACCCAUCUCCCCUAGCUUGGGGGAAUAUUCUUCCCCUUUCUGUGUCGUAUGAUGAGUGAGGGCAACCUAGCCAUCCCCUUGUGACCUAGGCUUGGCCAAUCAGAAUACAGUAUGUUAUAUCCUGACUACAGUGAUUGGUUCAGGGAUCAAGAAGGAUGGUGCAGAGGUUUAUAUGUAACCUUAAAUAUUUUCUUCAUGUAUAUAUAAGCAAAUAUAAAAAUACAUCCCUAUUUUCUCUAUUUUAACACAGGAAGUAUAUUAGACAUACUGUUCUCCAAUGUGCUUUUUUCACCUAACAACGUAUCUUGUCAAUCUCUUCCUAUCAAUAGAUAAGAGAACUUCAUCCCUUAUGCAGCUAGAUAGUAUUACGGGAUCCAUUUUGAUCAGAAGGACCUUGGAAAACCAGGUUGAUUUUGAGGAGUUGGGUCAACUCUGUAUGAGAAAGGAGUGGUAGAAGGUUAUAACUGGAUCCCAUCCCUUCUUCUACCUGGCAGAGAACCAGUACCUGAUUCUCUUACAGAGCUAGGAGAAAGAGGGUCCCUGGACUGGGAGGUGCUAGAAACAAGUUAAUGGUGUUGACCUUAUUUUGAAAGGAUGAAGUUAAAUAACGUAUACAUGCUAAAUGUUGAAACUACUGCCAGCAUGCCUCCCAACUUGGCUUCUAGACAGCAGACAGUUACUUUUAUACCACUCAGGGAGGAAUGAAAAAGGUUCUUCUUCAGAAACCUGACCCCACCAGGAAAGAUGACCUAGAAAUACUGCUGUGGGCUGGGAGUUCUCAUCAACAGCCUGAUCACUCUAGAGUGAGACCUUAGUCAUCAAGCCUCCCAGCUAACCAGAGAACUUUCACUGAGCUUUUAAGUAAUCUACUCUUAAUUAUCAUCAAGCAGUUAAGAAUUCUUAGAUAUCUGAGGGAAACUUCCAAAAUAAAAGAUACAGUCCACAAUGAACCAAAAGCAAAAAAUAAGUUAAGUUGCUGCUUGGAGGAAACAAAGACUACAGGGGGAGCUGAAAACUUUUUUAAAAAGCUAUCAUCAAAAUCUUCAGAGAAAUAAAAGAUGAUACUGCAUCCAUGAAACAUGUUCUAUUAAAAAGGAACAUUCAGAAAAAUGUAGAAGAAAAGAAUUAUUGGAAAUUUAAGAAAAGAGAAAUUCAGUAAAUGGAUUGGAAGAGAAAUUGAGAAAGUCUUCCUGAAAUCAGAUUAAAAGGCAAAUAGAAAAUAUAAAAGCAGGCUUAAGAAAAUUAGAGAAAUACAGAAUGUCCCUAAAUAUGGGUUUGUCUGAUGUUUAUUUUCAUGGCUAGACUGGGGAUAUGGGCAUUUGUGAAGAAGAGCAUGGAGGUGAAGUGUCAUUCUUGUCACAUCACGUCCGGGGUACACGCUAUCAAUGUUACAUCACUGAUGCUGUUAACCAGGAUGACCUGGCCCAGAUAGCAUUUCCCACAUUUAUCCAUGUAAAGUUACUUAUUAUUUCUCCUUCCCCUACUCUACUCUUCAGAAGCAAGUCACUAAGCAUAGCCCACGCUCAGGGGUGAAGAACUGAGACAGGUGGACUCUACCCCCUGUCAAUUUAAGAGCUAUUGGGAAUAUCAGGGAAAGAGCAAGAUUUUGACAAGUUUCCUCAGGAUUAAGGUAGACUUUAUUUUAACACCUCACUCUAGCUCCUUGCAAGACAGAGGCUAUAUUAAUUGUCACUUAUCCUAAAAGAACAGUAUUAGAAAUUGGAAUUUUCAUCCUUAACCUUAUACCCUCAGAAAUAUUAUUUAACCAGCAUUUUACAAUUCAUCCAAAGAAUGCUAAACAGGUAUUCCAAGAACUAGAUUCCAUGAUAUUAAGUAUUUUAAGAGCAGGAAUCCCAUCAAUACAUAGGAUAGUUAACUUCUUAGUCUUUGCAUUUUUAUUAGGAAUAUCUAACAGAUUUUAUAAAUCCCAUACUCCGAGUCAUUCAGUGUGUGCACAGCUAGUGUCAUUUUUUUUUUUUACUUAAGAAAAGAAAAAGAUGUUUUCACUCUAUACAUAAAAUGAAUAACCAACACUAGAAUUAAAAAAUUACUUUAGAAAGAGGCAGUUCAAUUAAUCUGAAAUCUAUACUAUAUAAAUGUGAAUUCAAAGUUAAUUGUAUUCUUUUUCCAAAAAGCUACAUUUGCACUUACAGAUAUAAGGCUCAACUCAACUGUGUGUGUCAAAUGACUUAAUCUGGUUAUUGGGUUUAUGGAGGGAUUUAAACAUUUUAGUGAAAGGAGACAAAUACAACAUUCUUUUGUUUAAAUUAAGUUUUGUAAUUCAAAGGAUUUGUUCAUUUGGGCCUUCAAGUUCCUUCUUUCAACACGAGAGAGUCUUGAAGGUAGAAUCAUUGCUUGAAAGGCUUUUGCUUUUGCAUCUAACUUUUACUUUGAAACUAACCAAAAAGAAACUAAGUGUAUCAGAAGCAUACCUAAUCUCCUGGAAGUCAGCAUUGCAUCAAGUGUAUUAAAAUUAAAAACUACUCUUUUUUUUCUCCUCCUUAAAUAGGCAUCUGGUAAUAAAAGGCCAAUCAGCUGGGUUAGGAUAAAACAGACAGUGUUUUUCCUUCACUAGUUCAUUUGGAAAAGUCGCUUUGCUAAUUGAGAAAAUUUUAAUGAAUUUUACUUGCAUUAAAAUAAAGGUGAUUGCUUCAUGGCAACAAUGUACUCAUUUGAGAAAGUCAUUACAUUUAUGUAUUGUGUUUUCAAGUAAAUACUUUUGCCAAAAUGUAUUAGCAAGGAAUAUAAUAUUAUGGUUCAUGGUUCUUGUAGUAUCUGAAAAGAAUAAUUGUAUAACCAAUCAAUGAAAACAAAGUAAAUGUUCCUCUUGGGUUUGUACAAUAAAAAUGGAAUUAAAAUUA